AUUGAACGCUGGCGGCAGGCUUAACACAUGCAAGUCGAGCGGGGAAAGGUAGCUUGCUCCCUGACCUAGCGGCGGACGGGUGAGUAAUGCUUAGGAAUCUGCCUAUUAGUGGGGGACAACAUCUCGAAAGGGAUGCUAAUACCGCAUACGUCCUACGGGAGAAAGCAGGGGACCUUCGGGCCUUGCGCUAAUAGAUGAGCCUAAGUCGGAUUAGCUAGUUGGUGGGGUAAAGGCCUACCAAGGCGACGAUCUGUAGCGGGUCUGAGAGGAUGAUCCGCCACACUGGGACUGAGACACGGCCCAGACUCCUACGGGAGGCAGCAGUGGGGAAUAUUGGACAAUGGGGGGAACCCUGAUCCAGCCAUGCCGCGUGGGGGAAGAAGGCCUUUUGGUUGUAAAGCACUUUAAGCGAGGAGGAGGCUACCGAGAUUAAUACUCUUGGAUAGUGGACGUUACUCGCAGAAUAAGCACCGGCUAACUCUGUG
rnacentral:rRNA from 1 species